GGUAGCCUUCCUACCUUUCCAAUGCCAUUCCUGCCAGCUCAGCCUGCUGCAUGUCGGGGGUGGCAGCAGCAAUUACAGAAGUUCUGGCAUUCUUGCAGUCCCUUUACAGCCUCCACACGGGUGCAGGGUGCAUAUUUCCUUCCUCUGCCCUGGGGAAAGCAGUAGGACUUCACUGCACAGGAGAUGAAUGCCCAGGAGAGAUCUGACCCAGGGUUCUCCUUGCUGGCAGGAGCAGUGUGAGCUGUCCCACUGGUGAGCUCUGUCUGGACGAGGUUCAGGAGGUGCUUGAAGAACUGUCAACCUGCCACUGAGGCAGCAGGAUGCAUUUCCCUGUAGUCAGGCUCCAGCAGACAAGCAGAACCACUCUGAAAGCACAAGCUAUGGUCCCAGAGCAGUAGCCAGCACUUAUAAGGAUCUCAGGAAGAAUGAAGCUGGCAGGCUCAGGGAAACACAUUGCUAAAAAUACACUUGGCAGGAGAGAAGCGAGGUAGGAACCUGCUUCAGUCAGCUCUCUUUGGCCACAUACCCUCAAAACAGCAGGAGGCUCCACAGCAGGCAUUCCCUGAACGUCAUCCUCAGUGGACCAUAGUAAAUCUGUAUCAGUGAGGCCACACCUCCAAUCCUGCAUCCAGUUCGGGCCUCUCGCUCCAAGAAGGGCAUUGAGGUGCUGCAGCAUGUGCAGAGAGCUGGGGAAGGGUCUGGGGCACAAGUCUGAUGAGGAGCAGCUGAGGGAGCUGGGGGUGUCCAGCCUGGAGAGGAGGAAGCUCAGGGAGACCUCAUCCCUCUCUACAACUCCCUGAAGGGAGGUCUGAGCCAGGUGGGUAUUGAUCUCUUCUGUCACGUAACAAGUCACAGGAGGAGAGGAAACAGCCACAAGUUGUGCUAGGGAAGGUUUAGAUAGGAUAUUCAGAUAGGAUAUUGGAACAGAUUUAUUCACCAAAAGGGUUAUAGAAUAGUGGAACAGACUGUGCAUGCAAGUGGUUGAGUCAACAUCCCUGGAAGUCUGUGCUGCACCUAGGACAUGGUUUAGUGAUGGCUUGGCACUGCUCAAUUAAAGUUGGACUUGAUCUUAUAGGUCUUUUCCCAAUCUACACAAUUCCAUGCUCCUAUUGUAUCCCACCUGCCAGCUAUGUCCUGGUCAAGGAGCGUGGGGGAGGUAUCAGGCAAUUAAGUAACAAGCUGCAAUCGCAUUUUCACUGUCAAAGUUAUUUCUCCAAACUUCCUAAAAGGUGUGAUGUUGUCAUCAUAGCUUUCCAUUUCAUUGUGAAGGCACUGAAGCAGGUCAGUCUUUGGGUUGUAUAAGGAAAGUUUAAAAAAAUCCUCGUCACUAGGAAAGCUAGAAAGGAAGAGAACUCAGGGUAGGAGAGCGCAUGAAGAGGAGGAGACGAGGAGGAGGUGAUUUUUAUUUACUGUCAGGGGUGACAUUGUCUCCUAGAAGAGGAAAAGUGCACAACCCCAGCAAGGCUUCUGCUGCUCCAAGUAUUUGUAUCCUGCCUCUUACUGCCUGAUGUGCAUCACCCACACAGUGUGCUAAAACACUUGACCUCCUCUUGACAUUCUCUUCCAGGGAGUACCAUCGAGGGGCAAAUGGAGAGUGUCUGUGAGACACACGGGGGCUCCUUGCAAAGACUUUUAAUAAAUCACUGCACCUUCUUGUCAGAUUUUUGCAUCCUGGAUGCUUCUGUGAGGGCAGAGCUCCAGUACAGCUUUGGGGAAGAUUAAUCACCCUGCCCUGGUGGCAAUAAUGCUUAAGGAAGAAUUUUUCUUCCUUUCUAAAACAUCACUUGCUGUGUUUAACUAGCUGACUUCUGACUCUUCAGGGGCUGGUAAAGCAGACUCAGUUUAGGAGUAUCUUAUUUCUCCUGGUUAUUUUAGGUCCUCCACCUCUGCCUUGGUCUGGUAACCAGAGUGGGAAGGUAAGGAAAAACUGCUUCUGGCAGCAGGAUGGGAGGAGAGCACCUGCUGUCUCUGGCUUUGCAAGGUACAACAGCAUUUCUGGUAAGAGUGUGAGUGUCCACAAGUGACUGCUGAUGAUGGUCUUUGUUGGAGUUAAAAACAUUUUUCAGUUUUUGUAACACAGCAAAGUGCCUGGCAAUCCUGAAUGAGUCCCACACAAUCUUUUGGGGUAAGGCUAUUGUAGUUUGUACUCUUCACAAAUACAAGUGGCCAGAAAAAACUGUGCAGGGAUGUGACUGGAGCUUCAGAUCUGUCCUCUUGCCUAAUCCAAGAGCUGUGAUUGCAGCACAACCCUUUGUUGGCAAAGCACAGUUCUGCUAAAAGCAGGCUGCUUCCUAUGGGCUGUUCUGUGCAGAGAAAAUCUCCUUGGAGAGCUUCUUAAAAGGUUAGCAAAAGAGAUCCCCUACUAACUUCUGCUUCCCAGUAUAAACCCAUGUUACCUGCUCUCCAAAUAAUUCCUGCCAGACAAUGUUUAACUUCAGCAAAAUUUAAGAGCAAACUGUAGCAAACUGAAAUUAUUACAUUAAAUUGCAUCUGAUAAAUAAGUUCUUCUAUUUGACCAAUUCUUGGUCAAAAAAUGUAUGACUUGUCAAAGUCUAGAUUUUCUGGCAUGGAUUCAAAAGCAAUCUGUACCUUUGUGUGUCAAAAAGUUUGUACAAGGUUGGGAUUGGUGUAUGGCAUCUGGGGAAGAAGCUUAAUUUAGCCCAUUCAGCUGCUUCUUUUUGGAAGUAUGCCUCUUAUUUUAUAAAAUGUUUUCAUUGUAGCCAUUGUGACACCACAGAUAUAAAAACUGGACAAGAUGCUGGAAUACUGGAAUUGGACUGAGAAAACUUCAGGACUUCAAAUGAUGUUUUUUCUCUCUUCUGUAAGGUGCUGUAGACAUCUCCUGUCCCAUAUACUCUUUGCUGCUUUUCAUCACAUAUGGUAAAAAUGUGUAAAAUCCCAGUAGUAUAUUAAUUCCAUUUUUCUCACUGUUCAAAAACUCUGAAGAGUCUGCUUCAAAAUAUUCUGUAUUUUGCCUGUGACAGUUUCAAGUCCCUGCUACAGGAUGCUGAUGUCCCCAAUCUGAAAUGAGGAGACAGUAACCUUGCAAACAGGAGUGCUGCAGUUUCCUGCCUGUCAUAAGAACAUGUCAACACUUCAUUAAACUGCCCAGAGCUUGCAAAUGUAAGACAAAUGGACUUGAUUCUGCAAAAGAAGCAGGAGCAAAAAUAUAAUUUUUCAUCCUCAGUGUUUUGUGGAUUAAUUGGACAGCCAUUCAACUGAUUAGGGGAACACAAGCCAGGCCUAGCAAAUCCAAAGAGCAAAGGAUUCUCUCUGCCCAGUGGAAGCUACCUGGCAACAAAAAAUACUUGCUCCAAAAUUUCCUGUGAGUAUAAAAUUCAACCAUUAAAAAUGUGUUUGGACUCAUUGUGUAAGUAAUUUCCAUGUGUUAACUAUGGUUAUUUGCUUUGUCUGACAUGUAUAUUGGUUACCAACUCUAUCUCCAAAUUAUUUUGGCACAAGUUGUGCAGCGCCCUUAUAGAAAACAUGGUUUGAACCAUAUUAUCAACUAAAAUGUUGGAAGACCUAACAAGUAAUUCUUUCUUAGCAAAUAACAAAAUAGAAACAAGCAUCACAUAUUUACUAUAGAGGAAUAUUAUUAUUUCAAAGCUUAUUCUAUAGAAGUAAAUAUUAAGAGAAUUAGACCUGUUUGGCAAAUUGUUAAAUCAAAUUACUUUUCCUACCUAUGAAAUUUUUAUUUCUUCUUUUAGGUGAUGAAGAAUCUACCUUAUGUUUGACAUAUUACCCCUUACAAUUUCUUUAACCCAUGCCCCAGAAAUAAUUAAACUGAAAUUACUCCAUGCAAUGCAGAGGAAAAUAAAGAUAAUAGUUUAAGAAUCUGAACAUCAGUUUUGGUGAAGUCAAGCUGUCGGCACUCAUUAAGAACAGGUUGGAAUCUGAAAAAAGUAGUAUUUCUAAAUAGAAAAAAUUAAAAGCCACACUUUGGUGAGUGCUUCCUUGAUGGGGGACUGCGUUUGUCAGCAUCACACGAAGACAAAGGAGAGUGAAUAUUGUGUUCCUGGAGACCUUUCAUCUCUUGCUUCACUGAACAUGCCUGACAGCUUGAACUCUCCACACUGGUGGGUGUGCCCAGAAUACCAUCCAGGCAUUCCAAGUUUCCAUAGAUAUAUUGCAAUGGAAGGAUUGGGCUCUCUAGAAUGGCUCUUCUUUUAUUCUCAGUGUUGUCACAGAGUGUGAAAGGGCAAAGGCCAUCCAGGAGCUCUAAGAAACAUCCCCUGUGAAGAUGAGACCAUCCCAUGGCUGCCAGUCUGGGGUUCCUUGGAAUACUUGAGGAGCACCUGAGCUGGCCCAGGGGGAUGCACACAGCAGACACUACCCAGUUUUUUGCAGUCCCUGCACUGUUUAAAUGACUUACAGUCCUGUUAGCUCCUGUGCUGGUAGAGCUGUUCCUCUGUAGGAACUUUUAGGGAAUACUGUAAAUCCUUCAGUAAUUUUAUCGUCAAGGCAGUACAAAGCAGUUAUUUUGGGCUCCAGCUCACAGUGCCAUACAAUUACAUCAGAUUCUGCAUUCUCAUGAAAAAGAAAUGGCAAGAUUCUUGCCCUUACAGAAAGCUUUAAGCUUUAAAAUAUGAAAUUGAUGCAAUGUCAUUUGCCUGAGGGCCUGAAACAAGAGCUCUGGAGAGAUUGAUGCAAUGUGAUAUGCUGAGAGCCUGAAAUGUGCUCCAAGGAGUCUGAACUCCUGUAUGCAACUUCAUCUCAUAUUUAUUCCUGAAUCCAUGGUCCCAGCAAAGGUAGCGACAACCAUCCCUGCAAAGAGCAGGGGAGAGGCAGGAACAGAUAAUUGUGGGUGCCCACCAAAUCGUUGUGCCCUGCAAAUUAAUGUAGGCAUUACAAGUUACCCUGCUACUCUUCCUUAUUCCCUUGCACAAAAAGAAGAGGCUUUUAUUUUCCACAGCUACUUGCACUUUAAGCGUGAUCAGGAGCAGAAGACUCCUGGGUACAGAGUCAUGGAAGGCUCCUUGGCAAUACCUAUGGGCUCUGAAUUAUUUUAUUCCAGCCACCACAUAUUGGGAAUGUCGUUUAAUAAAAGCGUGUAAUGAAAAGUAAUGUUGAAAGUUCAUGAAUGUUGCAUAGCUUGGUAAACUGUUAUUUUUCUGUGUAAAGAGCCCUGGAAGUACACAUGGGGAUAAGGGAAAGCUGAAUCUGUCAGGAAACCGUGUUGAACAAUUAGGCACUUAAGGCUAGCAGCAGAAAAAAGCCAGGACUCUGCAGAAAAGUAGAAUUAAUGAAAGCCAUUCUUCCCUUUGAGCCAUAACGUUAUCAGCCUGCUUUACUCCUACUUUAUAGCAUUGGCUUGUCUCCACUUUUUAAACUCAAUUAUGUGAUAUAACCAAAAGCAUCAUCUGGUCUUUUGGUACUUGUUACUAUUUUCAUCUGUUAAAUCAUUUAAGUAUUUUUGUAAUUAAUAAAGGCUUUUAAGUGGGUUUUAAGGCAGGGAGGGCCCUCUUUGGGCAAAGCUGUUGCAAUUGCUCAGCUUCUAAUCAGCUAAUAGUAGUUGGUUUGAAUAUUUGUGAUCUGACAGGGUAAUCUCAAGGGACUGAAAAUAUGCUUAUUUCAGAUUUACUACAAGAAACCACAACAUUUAACUGACUGAGGUCUCUAUCCCACGGUGAACUCAAUAUAACCUUUGCUAUACUACUGGCUUGCAGAAUAAAGAAAACCUUAACAGGGAGUUAAAAGGAAAUAAAACUUAAGGAGGGAGUCACAGUAACAUCUGGAAUACAAAGAGAAACAGAAAUAUAAUUAUAUAAUACCACUGUAUGUGAAUGCAUUUUAACUUCUCCUUUUUCCUCUCUCACAGCCCUAUUUAUCUGGCUACAUUUCUGAGGAAAAGAAGCUGAAAUAAAGAGAUGCUCAGACUUUUUUUUUAAAUUUUAGGAAAUAAGGGAAAUAAAUUGACAAACAAUAGGAGCAGAAAGAAUGGAGACAGCGGCGUGGGCUACAGGCAGAUUUGCUGCUGUGAUAUCAGUUAGGCAGUAUCAGCACCCCUAGGCAGGCAAAGCAUUUGACUUUGUGGGCUGGCUUGUUCACCAAGAGGGAAGGAGUCUUGUGCCAGCCCAGUUCCUUUCUGCUGGAGUUUCUCCUUGUUAUUUGUUAAGAAUCAGUACUUUUCAAAUUGGCUUCCACAGUUAUGAGCCUUUCCAGCACAACACAGCUUUGAGAUGUCACUUGGACUGGGCUGGUGACUCAGACAGAAGUGUGUCUUUGCUAAUUCACAGUUUAUUCUGUAUUUUAAAAAGCUCCACAGAAGGGGCUGUCACUGUCUGUGAGAAGAGACUUCUGAGGAGUGACUACUCGCUGUCAUUUCAUGACUUUCACACACAAGUAAAAAGCGUGUUCUCACCUCUAUAAAAUAAAGGUAACAUGAGAAAACUUUA